rnacentral:rRNA from 1 species
UUAGAGUUUGAUCCUGGCUCAGGACGAACGCUGGCGGCGUGCUUAACACAUGCAAGUCGAACGGAAAGGCCCUGCUUUUGUGGGGUGCUCGAGUGGCGAACGGGUGAGUAACACGUGAGUAACCUGCCCUUGACUUUGGGAUAACUUCAGGAAACUGGGGCUAAUACCGGAUAGGAGCUCCUGCUGCAUGGUGGGGGUUGGAAAGUUUCGGCGGUUGGGGAUGGACUCGCGGCUUAUCAGCUUGUUGGUGGGGUAGUGGCUUACCAAGGCUUUGACGGGUAGCCGGCCUGAGAGGGUGACCGGCCACAUUGGGACUGAGAUACGGCCCAGACUCCUACGGGAGGCAGCAGUGGGGAAUAUUGCACAAUGGGCGGAAGCCUGAUGCAGCAACGCCGCGUGCGGGAUGACGGCCUUCGGGUUGUAAACCGCUUUCGCCUGUGACGAAGCGUGAGUGA